UACGUAGGGACCAAGCGUUGUUCGGAUUUACUGGGCGUAAAGGGCGCGUAGGCGGCGUGUCAAGUCAAUUGUGAAAUCUCCGAGCUUAACUCGGAACGGUCAAUUGAUACUGAUGUGCUAGAGUGCAGAAGGGGCAAUCGGAAUUCUUGGUGUAGCGGUGAAAUGCGUAGAUAUCAAGAGGAACACCUGAGGUGAAGACGGGUUGCUGGGCUGACACUGACGCUGAGGCGCGAAAGCGAGGGUAGCAAACGGG
rnacentral:rRNA from 1 species